UACAUAGCCUCAUUUACUGCUGUUAUAAUUACUAGCUGUGGUAACAACACUAGUUAUAGUGUCCACAACUACCAUGUCCAUGAACUUCCUCUCAAUAAAAUGGCUUCAGAAGAUUGGCUCGGAGAAUGUGUGCUCCAGAGAGAAACUGUUCCUCUUCCCUGCAUCCUGCCUCCUUGCCCUCUCUUCCUCCUGUCUCUAGUGAGAGCUUCCCCACUCUGCAGGCAUAUGGUAGCUGGGUGAUGUACAGCUUGAUCUUUUCUCUCUACUUCCAGAGGACAUGUGUAUGACCUCCUCUCCCUCUUGUGCAGGACCUGAUGUGACUCCGAGUGAUGGCCACUGUGCCCUGAGGAACCCACAGGAACAAUGUUUGACCUGUAUUUUAUUCUAAAAAUGGUGACCUCUUUACCCUGUUCCAUGUUUGGAAAUGCAGGCUUCAGUGCACUGAUGAAGAAAGUGAAACUCAGAGGCUGAAUAAGGUCUGAGCAUACUAGGAUCUUCCUGUUGGGACUCAGCUCUCCAGGCUCACCGGCAGUCUUUGACACAUACAGGGAAUCUGAAGACUUCUCAUAAAGGGAGAGAAGCUGAACAUUGCACAUAUCUCUCCUCUCCACUGCUCCUGAUUGUAUAACAUCUGUUCAGCAACAAAAGGUAGACCUCAGACUAGUGCAUGCAAGCAUGGCAUGCCAAAUUUCUGCUCACAAUAAGAGAACUUUCUGAAGUACAUGUUUAUUCAGUGUGCAAGCACUUAAAAUGAAGUUUAUAAUUUUGUUCAUGUCCAAGUCAUUCGUGAAUAACAAAACCAUGUACACUUUGUGCCAACGCUGACAGAAUUUCCCUCGUGGCCAACUGAAAACCCGAACAAAGCUUCUGCUGGUCACUGACAUCGCAGUGGUCUCCAGGCGGUCAGUCUCACGAAGUCCUGAGGCCUGUCCUCAGGCGCUGGCCAGGAACCUGGCGUCCACACUCUCCACGCCUGCAGGCUGCUCCUCUGGGCAAAGCCUAAGCUCGAGUUGUCAAAGCAGUGAACUGGAUAGGAUGCCGAAAAAACCACUGAGGCCUAGGCGAGUCCUUUGGCGCGGGAUCCUGUACAUUGGGUUCCCUGCCCUGAGCAGGGAUGUUGGGGCUCUUCUAGGAUAGGUUCCAGACACCUGAGCAGGUGAAGUCGGCAAAUUCUCCUCGGUUACUUCUCCGUGAGCCUCUCUGUUGAGGAUUCCCUGCUUCCAGGCUUUGACCUCAUUGGAAAGUUGCUGGUUAUUGCUCAGCAACUCGCUGUGCUGCUCAGCCUGGCCACCUCCUCGUGCAGCCCAGGUCCUUGAUCUUCAGGACCAGCUCUGCGUUCUGCUAACCCCAGGCUCUGUGAUCAUCCAGACUCUACAGUGGGUGAUGAACAUGACUCUGGCCAUCUUUCCUGCACAGACAUGAACAUGGUCACCUUUUCCUGAAUUUUCGAGUGAACUAAGUUUAUGAAUAAAGAUACCACUGUGUUUAAUCUCA